rnacentral:sRNA from 1 species
AUGUGAGAGUGACCAAGCUGUGACCCUCCACCCCAUUGAUUGCCUGGGCCCAUUAGGCUGAUGUGGUGGCCUGGGGACUUCUUUCUUCACCUCU